GCGGACGUGGCGAAAUCGGUAGACGCAGCAGACUUAAAAUCUGUUUCCAGACCCUGGAAUGCGGGUUCAAGUCCCGCCGUCCGCACCA
rnacentral:tRNA from 1 species